rnacentral:rRNA from 1 species
CGGAGGGUGCGAGCGUUGUCCGGAAUCACUGGGCGUAAAGGGCGCGUAGGCGGCGCGGGCAGUCAACGGUGAAAGCUUGGGGCUCAACCCCGAGUCGGCCGUCGAUACUCCCGUGCUGGAGCACUGUAGAGGCAGGUGGAAUUCCGGGUGUAGCGGUGGAAUGCGUAGAGAUCCGGAAGAACACCGGUGGCGAAGGCGGCCUGCUGGGCAGUAGCUGACGCUGAUGCGCGACAGCGUGGGGAGCAAACAGGAUUAGAUACCCUGGUAGUCCACGCCGUAAACGAUGGGCACUAGGUGCUUGGGGGAGCGACCCUCUGAGUGCCGGCGCUAACGCAUUAAGUGCCCCGCCUGGGGAGUACGGCCGCAAGGCUGA